rnacentral:lncRNA from 1 species
UCCGGUGUCUCUAAACCCCGAAACAAUCCUACACAUGAAAUCUAGACCCCUUAAUUAUAAAACACACAACUCUAAACCCCGACAGUAACGACGACAUCAUCAAAAACAAAAACCCCGCAAAUCCUAAGGCCACAGCAAUGUCCGAUUGGACGCAAAACGAAUCACACGUAGCAACACCUCGAAGCUGCCUCGCCAUCUCCGUCCCCGUCGAGUCCGCCGACAGUAACAUAUACGCAAAAACCUACAUAUAACAGGUGUACGUCACAACGUGUGUGUAUGUCACUAUGUCAGAUACAAACAUUCUUUUAAAAUUUGAACAUAUGUUUACUAGAAAAUUAGCGCCAAUAAUGGUUGUGAGUUUUUGAAUUUUGCUAUGAUUUAAAAAAAGUCAGGAAAUAAAAUAAAGUUACAUGUAACAAGUGAAUGGGUCAUGAAAACGGAAACCUGAUCGUGGGCGAAAUCGAACCAGACUUGGUAGAAUUCAGGGAGAAUGGUGGAACCUCGAGAGAUCUCCCAAGCGGAUGCAACCAUUUCGAAUAACGAAUACAAAGCGACUAUCCCAUUUGCCGCUACAACAAAUCUGUAGAGUUUGUUAGCAUCAAUAACACUUUGGGGCGGAAUAGGGGUCAAGAGGGUCCGUUAACCCAGCAGUCACUAAAAUUUGUUUUGUUUUUCGUGUAUAAAAUUGUGAGUCAAUUUUUCAAAAAUAAGUCUGUCCUAUUAGUUUUUUUUUUUAAUGGCUUAGCGGAAAACACCCCUAAUGAAAUACCACCACCCUUAUAAUUAUUUACUCCUUUCUAAAAAGUAAAAAUUUUGGUUCCGCCACUACACAUGUUAAGUAAAUGAGGUUUACCUGAAGGCGCUGAAGUCGUACCAGCGAGGCGAACCGGACUUGGUGGCGAUCAUGAAAACCGCAGCGGAUAGGGAAAAGCAGAAGGCAGCGAGGCGAAAGAUGAAAAUGAAGCAAUUGAAACGGCGGAGCUUGCGUUCGGAGACAGUGGAGUGGAAGUGAGGUGUGUCAUGUGGAUGGGUCUGGUGGAUCCGGGGUCGAGGGGAGGGGCUCUCGACACCACCGUUACGGGUCAUCUUCGUCUUAAAAGUUUUAAACCUGAAUACUACGUGUGAGGUGUUGGAUCAUGAGAUCAGGUGGUGAGUAGAAUGAAUGAAUGAUUUAUAUAUUAUUCUUGUCUUGUGGGGAUCUAUCUAUCUAGUGUGUUAAAUGAUUCACGGGGGGAAGCAUGAUGUCCAUGGGGAACAUAAAAAAAUGGGAUGAUGUGAAAGAAAGAGGGGUGUGAACUGUGAAGCCUGAAGUCUGUGAAGAAAAAAGGAAGGAGAGGAUGAUGAUUGUCCAUGGAUGUUUCAUACCCUAA